rnacentral:lncRNA from 1 species
AGGUUUGUGACUUUGAGAAGAGUACGAGCAGGUAUAAUUUAUUCCGAUCAGGGAAAUAAUGUAGUUGGAGCUCACUAAGAAAUUAAGAAAAUAUGUGAUAAUUGGAGUGAGUUGAUGAAAAAUGAAACAGUACGAACUAAGGAUUUGGAGUGGAAGGGGAACUGCCCCCUCGCUAGUCACAUUAAUGGAGAUGUAGAAAGUUUAAUAAAAAGUGUAAGAAAGUCUUUAAACGGAAUUAUGGAUUAUAAAAACGUAAUGUUAACCCCAGAUGAAUGGUCUACAAUAUUGUAUAAAAUAACUUAUAUGGUAAAUUCGAGGCCAUUAUUUCCUAUUAAUUCAGCCAAUACUUUGGAAGAAACAGGUUUCAUUACACUGAACAUCCCCUUAUACGGGGAAGAAAUAAUAGUGGGUUUAGGUUUUUUUUAAAUCUUCACUAAUAGAAAAUGGAAUAUGAUGUGAUGUAUCAGUAAAAUCGUUUUUGGAAGCUUCUUCUACUUAAGAAAAUUUAGAAAUCCAGUGGAGUCAUCCUCUCUAUUUUUAUCAAUUUGUUGAUGUUACUUAUAUAUUAAAUUGCGGCCACACAAUUUUUACCAAAUACCAAUACCCUUCAUCUCUUCUAAUUUUUUCAAAGUUCCCUUUAUAGGUAAAAGGUGUAAUUGAUUCCUGGCAUAGAUUACUUAACAUCUGGAUAGACACAAGCCAUGCAACCUAGUUAUUAUAACUUAUAGAAUAAAUAAAAAAUAAUUCUUCUAUUAAAUAACAAUUGUAGAAGAGAAUAAUUAAUUCUUGUUAAAAAGUGAUGAAUCCAUUGAUCAUUUGUGAUCUAAGUAAUCAAUCGUGGAAUUGUGGAUUGUCUAGCGAAAGAUUAUGUUGGGAAAUUUCAUUUUUUGGUAGUGAAACUUGAAAGAGUCCUUCAAAAGCAUUAACAAAACAUGAUUUAAUUCUGUCGAAGAAAGAGCUAAUUUUUUAUACAAGUGAGUAUGGAGGAAGGACCUCUUAUUAAGCCACAUUGUCGAAAUACAUUUUUUUGAAGGAAUAUCCAUACCAUAAUAUAGUUAUGAGAUUGUCAGAUCCAAUGUGUUGGUCAGUUCCUUUGUAGUUCAUCAUAAUUAUCUUGUAUUGGAGAUGAGCGUUUCUUGAUGAACCUGUUUUCAUCUAUUAAUGACUUCACAUAAAGUAAUUCUUAUCUCAACGCUUGUGUUUGGAUAUGAUCUCCCUUUUCUAAUUCAUUAAAAGUUUUGAAAUAGGGUUUCUGAUUUGAUUUCCUAGAUGAUUAUGUUUGUGGUUCAUUUUUGAAGAGUUUAUAAUCGAGAAUACCUCAUCCUCCCUGUAUAUACAUAUAGUCGAUAUAUGCUUGAAUAUGUACCUCUAACCUCGGGAAUUUUAAACUUAUAUUAUGGAUACAGAACCUAAGUGUGGAUUAUUCAACAUGUUAAGCAUGAAUUAGUCCAUAUUUUGCCUAUUUUAAUGCAACAAAUUGUUAUUAUCGUCACUACUUAAACUUAACACAUAACGAAGUUGGGUUGAUAUUUAUUUCAUCUCAAAUUUAUUCAUUAAUAUUUCAAAUAAUAGUUAAAAAAUACAAUUUUGCUAUAAAUUUCUGAGAAUUACAA